AAUGAACGUUGGCGGCGUGGAUUAGGCAUGCAAGUCGCGCGUGUACCCGCAAGGGGAAAGCGGCGUAAGGGACAGUAAUGUGUAGGUAUCUACCCUCGGGUCGGGAAUAGCCACGGGAAACUGUGGGUAAUGCCCGAUAAUAUCUCCGGAUCAAAGGUGUGAUUCCGCCGGAGGAUGAGCCUGCAUCCUAUUAGCUAGUUGGCGAGGUAACGGCUCACCAAGGCAAUGAUGGGUAGGGGGUGUGAGAGCACGACCCCCGUCACUGGGACUGAGACACUGCCCAGACACCUACGGGUGGCUGCAGUCGAGGAUCUUCGGCAAUGGGCGCAAGCCUGACCGAGCGACGCCGCGUGCGGGAUGAAGGCCUUCGGGUUGUAAACCGCUGUCAGUGGGGAGGAAAUGCCGGUGGGUUCUCCCAUCGGUUUGACCUAUCCGCAGAGGAAGCAAGGGCUAAGUUCGUGCCAGCCGCCGCAGUAAAAC
rnacentral:rRNA from 1 species